rnacentral:misc_RNA from 1 species
GAUGAAGAACGCAGCGAAAUGCGAUAAGUAAUGUGAAUUGCAGAAUUCCGUGAAUCAUCGAAUCUUUGAACGCACAUUGCGCCCUCUGGUAUUCCGGGGGGCAUGCCUGUCCGAGCGUCAUUGCUGCCCUCAAGCACGGCUUGUGUGUUGGGCCUCCGUCCUCCUCCCGGGGGACGGGCCCGAAAGGCAGCGGCGGCACCGCGUCCGGUCCUCGAGCGUAUGGGGCUUCGUCACCCGCUCUUGUAGGCCCGGCCGGCGCUUGCCGACACAUCAAUAUUUUUUCCAGGUUGACCUCGGAUCAGGUAGGGAUACCCGCUGAACUUAAGCAUAUCAAUAAGCGGAGGA